GAUGAACGCUGGCGGCGUGUCUAAUACAUGCAAGUCGAGCGAACGGACGAGAAGCUUGCUUCUCUGAUGUUAGCGGCGGACGGGUGAGUAACACGUGGAUAACCUACCUAUAAGACUGGGAUAACUUCGGGAAACCGGAGCUAAUAUCGGAUAAUAUUGUGAACCGCAUGGUUCAUAAGUGAAAGACGGUCUUGCUGUCACUUAUAGAUGGAUCCGCGCUGCAUUAGCUAGUUGGUAAGGUAACGGCUUACCAAGGCAACGAUGCAUAGCCGACCUGAGAGGGUGUUCGGCCACACUGGAACUGAGACACGGUCCAGACUCCUACGGGAGGCAGCAGUAGGGAAUCUUCCGCAAUGGGCGAAAGCCUGACGGAGCAACGCCGCGUGAGUGAUGAAGGUCUUCGGAUCGUAAAACUCUGUUAUUAGGGAAGAACAUAUGUGUAAGUAACUGUGCACAUCUUGACGGUACCUAAUCAGAAAGCCACGGCUAACUACGUG
rnacentral:rRNA from 1 species